GGGAUCUUUUGCAAAACAAAUGUUCCUUAUGGUCACAAUGGGUUUCUGCUAGGUAUCUUUCAAAGGAAUCAAUCUGGGAAAUUUCAACAAGAACAUACCACUUUGUAGCUUGGAAAGGAAUUUUAAAGGCAAGGAAUUGGCUAAUCAAACACAUUUCUUAUGCAAUCUCUUCUGGAACUAGUACUAAUAUGUGGUAUGAUCCUUGGGUGAAUGGGAAGAGUAUAUUUCAAUUAUAUGGCGACAGAAUACGAAAAGAUCUUGGGGCUCCAAAAGAUUGGAAGGUUUCCGAGUUCAUUGCUAACGGUAC
rnacentral:lncRNA from 1 species